GACGAACGCUGGCGGCGUGCUUAACACAUGCAAGUCGAACGGAAAGGCCCUGAUUUUGUGGGGUGCUCGAGUGGCGAACGGGUGAGUAACACGUGUGUAACCUGCCCUUGACUUUGGGAUAACUUCAGGAAACUGGGGCUAAUACCGGAUAGGAGCUCCUGCUGCAUGGUGGGGGUUGGAAAGUUUCGGCGGUUGGGGAUGGACUCGCGGGUUAUCAGCUUGUUGGUGGGGUAGUGGCUUACCAAGGCUUUGACGGGUAGCCGGCCUGAGAGGGUGACCGGCGACAUGGGGACUGAGAUACGGAGCAGACGGCUACGUGAGGCAGUGGUGGGGAGUAUUGCACAGUGGGCGGGAGCCUGAUGCGGCAGCGCUGCGUGCGUGAUGACGGCUUUCUGGUUGUGAACCGCUUUCGCCUGUGACGAAGCGUGAGUGACGGUAAUGGGUAAAGAAGCACCGGCUAACUACGUG
rnacentral:rRNA from 1 species